GGGAUUAUUCAGUCGGGAGGUCGCGGACGUCGAGUGUGGAGUGACUUGGAAUGGUUUUCCCGGACGGGGACCGUCCACGCUCGACGCUUUCGUGCCGCCCGACGCAUUUGUUUCCCGUCCGAAGGACGCCGCAACCGGUUGGGGAACGGCCUUAAGGGCGGACGAUGGCAGGUGGCAGGUGACGUUCCCUCGGGUUCGUCUGCCUGUUGUUAGCCGGUUUCCGUCGCACGGCACGUGACCCGACCGUGGUGUCGCGAGGCCCUCUGUCUGGGCCUCUCCGCCUCCUCCUUUCGCAAGGACUAGCCGGGAAUUGGCGGCACGGGUUCUCCCCGCUGCGGUCGCACGGACUGACUCCGUGGGCCUUGCUGGCGGUGCGAGUCCCGGCUGGCUGCCUUUUUACCCGUAGGAGCGCUGGCGGUUGGCGGCGAGUAGAUCGGUCACCCACCCGACCCGUCUUGAAACACGGACCAAGGAGUCUAACAUGUGUGCGAGUCAAUGGGUCUCGAGUAAGCCCAGAGGCGCAAUGAAAGCAAAGGCCGGACUCGACUCCGGCCGAGUUGGGAUCCUCCCUCCCAUGUCGGGGGAGGCGCACCAACGACCCGUCCCAUCCGAUUUAAUCGGCGGGGCGGAGUCUGAGCAUACACGUUGGGACCCGAAAGAUGGUGAACUAUGCCCGGGCAGGACGAAGCCAGAGG
rnacentral:rRNA from 1 species